rnacentral:rRNA from 1 species
GAUGAACGCUGGCGGCGUGCCUAAUACAUGCAAGUCGAGCGAACAGACGAGGAGCUUGCUCCUCUGACGUUAGCGGCGGACGGGUGAGUAACACGUGGAUAACCUACCUAUAAGACUGGGAUAACUUCGGGAAACCGGAGCUAAUACCGGAUAAUAUAUUGAACCGCAUGGUUCAAUAGUGAAAGACGGUUUUGCUGUCACUUAUAGAUGGAUCCGCGCCGCAUUAGCUAGUUGGUAAGGCAACGGCUUACCAAGGCAACGAUGCGUAGCCGACCUGAGAGGGUGAUCGGCCACACUGGAACUGAGACACGGUCCAGACUCCUACGGGAGGCAGCAGUAGGGAAUCUUCCGCAAUGGGCGAAGGCCUGACGGAGCAACGCCGCGUGAGUGAUGAAGGUCUUCGGAUCGUAAAACUCUGUUAUUAGGGAAGAACAAAUGUGUAAGUAACUAUGCACGUCUUGACGGUACCUAAUCAGAAAGCCACGGCUAACUACGUG